GACAGAGGGUGCGAACGUUGCUCGGAAUUACUGGGCGUAAAGCGCGUGUAGGCGGACUAGUAAGUCGGACGUGAAAUCCCUGGGCUCAACCCAGGAACUGCAUCCGAAACUAUUGGUCUGGAGUGGUGGAGAGGAAAGCAGAAUUCCUGGUGUAGAGGUGAAAUUCGUAGAUAUCAGGAGGAACACCGGUGGCGAAGGCGGCUUUCUGGACACUAACUGACGCUGAGACGCGAAAGCGUGGGGAGCAAACAGG
rnacentral:rRNA from 1 species